rnacentral:rRNA from 1 species
GACGAACGCUGGCGGCGUGCUUAACACAUGCAAGUCGAACGGGCCCGCUCUCUUUUUUGGGGGUGGGUUGAGUGGCGAACGGGGGAGUAUCACGUUAGUAACCUGCCCCCUGCUCCUGGGUAACUGUUUGAAAGAGCGGCUAAUACGGGGUGUACCGGCUGGUCCGCAUGGGCCUGGUCGGGCUAGUUUCAUCUUCGGGUGUUUCGGUGGGGGAUGGGCUCGGGGCGUAUCAGCAUGUUGGUGGGGUGAUGGCCCACCCUGGCGGUGAUGGGUAGCCGGCCUGGGAGGGUGGGCGGCCAGACUGGGACUGAGGCACGGGCCAGACUCCGGCGGGAGGAAGCGGUGGGGGGGAUCGCACAGUGGGAGGAAGCCGGAUGCAGCGACGUCGCGUGAGGGAGGGAGGCCGUCGGGUUGGGAACCUCUGUGGCGGGUGGGGAAGGCCAUGUCCGUUGCGGCGGGGUUGACGGUAGCCGGGUAUGAAGCGCCGGCUAACUACGUG